AACGAACGCUGGCGGCGUGGAUAAGACAUGCAAGUCGAACGGGACAAGUAGCAAUAUUUGUCUAGUGGCGAACGGGUGCGUAACACGUGGGCAACAUGCCGGGAAGAGCGGGAUAGCCCGGGGAAACUCGGAUUAAUACCGCAUGUGACAACGGGGCGGAUUCGCCCUGUUUUCAAAGGUGGGGACCGCAAGGCCUGCCGCUUCCAGAUUGUCCCGCGUCCUAGCAGCUAGUUGGCGGGGGAACGGCCCACCAAGGCGACGACGGGUAGCAGGGCGGAGAGGACGACCAGCCACACUGGAACUGAGACACGGUCCAGACACCUACGGGUGGCAGCAGUCGAGAAUCUUUCACAAUGGGGGAAACCCUGAUGGAGCGACGCCGCGUGGAGGAUGACGGUCUUCGGAUUGUAAACUCCUGUCAUGAAAGAACAAGCGGAGCGGGUGAACAGCCCGCCGAGUUGAUAGUAUUUCAAGAGGAAGGGACGGCUAACUUCGUGCCAGCCGCCGCAGUAACAC
rnacentral:rRNA from 1 species